CUGACAGAAGCGAGGCUGCCAUAUCGCGCCAUCGGCCCCUCUGGCCAUCACCAGUAGGCGACUCUCCUUGACGUCAGGACUGAGCCACGGUUUAGUAUUUGUGAAACACAGUACAGUCCUGGAUCCACGGGAAACAGGCGGGGGUCCAGGAAGGUCUGUGCAGAGAGAAGAAAAUGGAAAACCAAGAAACACGAUGGCAGACAAACAGAUUCACAAGAGAGAGCUGGGACUACAUUAAUGGGGGUAAAUACAACAAUCCAGCAAAGAACAGCACUCCACCAAGGCCUUAAGUACUGGCAGGAACAAUCAUAGAUGAUGAGCAGCAGGUGAGUGAUGAGUGGGUGUGGAGAACAAGGCGGGAACUAGGAACCAGA